AUUGAACGCUGGCGGAAUGCUUUACACAUGCAGGUCGAACGGCAGCACGGACUUCGGUCUGGUGGCGAGUGGCGAACGGGUGAGUAAUGUAUCGGAACGUGCCCAGUCGUGGGGGAUAACGUAGUGAAAAUUACGCUAAUACCGCAUACGAUCUAUGGAUGAAAGCGGGGGUUCGCAAGACCUCGCGCGAUUGGAGCGGCCGAUAUCAGAUUAGGUAGUUGGUGGGGUAAAGGCCCACCAAGCCAACGAUCUGUAGCUGGUCUGAGAGGACGACCAGCCACACUGGAACUGAGACACGGUCCAGACUCCUACGGGAGGCAGCAGUGGGGAAUUUUGGACAAUGGGCGAAAGCCUGAUCCAGCCAUUCCGCGUGCAGGAUGAGGGCCCUCGGGUUGUAAACUGCUUUUGUACAGAACGAAAAGGUUUCUACUAAUACUAGGAGCUCAUGACGGUACUGUAAGAAUAAGCACCGGCUAACUACGUGCCAGCCGCCGCCGUAA
rnacentral:rRNA from 1 species